rnacentral:rRNA from 1 species
UGGGGAAUUUUGGACAAUGGGCGCAAGCCUGAUCCAGCAACGAUGCGUGGAGGAUGAAGGUUUUCGGAUUGUAAACUCCUUUUAAGGGGGACGAAACAAAUGACGGUACCCCUUGAAUAAGCCACGGCUAACUACGUGCCAGCAGCCGCGGUAAGACGUAGGUGGCAAGCGUUACUCGGAAUUACUAGGCGUAAAGCGCGCGUAGGCGGGAUGUUAAGUCUGUUGUGUAAUCUCUGGGCUCAACCCAGAAACUGCAACGGAAACUGGCGUUCUUGAGUGAGGCAGAGGAAAUCGGAAUUCCUAGUGUAGCAGUGAAAUGCGUAGAUAUUAGGAGGAACACCGGUGGCGAAGGCGGAUUUCUGGGCCUUUACUGACGCUAAAGUGCGAAAGCUAGGGGAGCAAACGGGAUUAGAUACCCUGGUAGU